CCGAGUUUACAACUCCCCAAACCCCUGUGAACAUACCACUUGUUGCCUCGGCGGAUCAGCCCGCUCCCGGUAAAACGGGACGGCCCGCCAGAGGACCCCUAAACUCUGUUUCUAUAUGUAACUUCUGAGUAAAACCAUAAAUAAAUCA
rnacentral:misc_RNA from 1 species